CAGUAGCCGCGGUAAUACGUAGGUCCCGAGCGUUGUCCGGAUUUAUUGGGCGUAAAGCGAGCGCAGGCGGUUAGAUAAGUCUGAAGUUAAAGGCUGUGGCUUAACCAUAGUAUGCUUUGGAAACUGUUUAACUUGAGUGCAAGAGGGGAGAGUGGAAUUCCAUGUGUAGCGGUGAAAUGCGUAGAUAUAUGGAGGAACACCGGUGGCGAAAGCGGCUCUCUGGCUUGUAACUGACGCUGAGGCUCGAAAGCGUGGGGAGCAAACAGGAUUAGAGACCCCCGUAGUCCCUGUCUCUUAUACA
rnacentral:rRNA from 1 species